rnacentral:rRNA from 1 species
UCGAAUUGAACUAAAAACUUUCAACAACGGAUCUCUUGGUUCUGGCAUCGAUGAAGAACGCAGCGAAAUGCGAUAAGUAAUGUGAAUUGCAGAAUUCAGUGAAUCAUCGAAUCUUUGAACGCACAUUGCGCCCCUUGGCAUUCCGAGGGGCAUACCUGUU